rnacentral:tRNA from 1 species
UGGGCUGCGGCUCAGUGGCAGAGCACUCGCCUAGCAUGUGAGAGGCCCUGGGUUAGAAUCUCAACACCACAU